rnacentral:rRNA from 1 species
UCCUACGGGGCGCAGCAGUGAGGAAUAUUGGUCAAUGGGCGCGAGCCUGAACCAGCCAAGUCGCGUGAGGGAAGACGGUCCUAUGGAUUGUAAACCUCUUUUGUCGGGGAGCAAAAGACGCCACGCGUGGCGUUCCGAGAGUACCCGAAGAAAAAGCAUCGGCUAACUCCGUGCCAGCAGCCGCGGUAAUACGGAGGAUGCGAGCGUUAUCCGGAUUUAUUGGGUUUAAAUGGUGCGUAGGCGGUCGGAUAAGUUAGACGUGAAAUCCCGAGGCUCAACUUCGGAAUUGCCUCUGAUACU